CUGAGUUACACCUCAUCAAACCCUUGUGAACAUACCUAUACUGUUGCUUCGGCGGUAGGCUCCCUAGGACCUCCCGCCCUCCCGUAACCGGUGGACGGCCCGCCGCAGGAUACACAAACUCUGAUUUUACCUUGUAACUUCUGAGUAACACAACAAAUAAUCA
rnacentral:misc_RNA from 1 species